rnacentral:lncRNA from 10 species
AAUUUAAAAAGAAAAGACAAUACUAAUUCCUGUACUAUGGACAAUUUUCUAAACCUUAGGACAAGAUUAAGCAUAAAUAUACCUCUGCAGUUGUUGCUGCUUUUUGAAUUAUAAGUGGAGAAUCACUUGAGUCUGGGAGGUGGAGGUUGCAGUGAGCCAAGAUUGUGCCAUUGCACUCCAGUCUGGGCAACAAGAGUGAAACUUUGUCUCAAAAAAAGGAAAACCUAUUAUCAGGGUGGAGAUGAGAAGAGAUUAUAAGUAGUAUAAUUAUCACAGGACAUAGAUGUACUGUAAAGAACGUAUAAAAUUAAUCAUCUUUCCCUGGUGUUGAAAGUAUACAGAUCUAUAGAGACUUUAUAGAACCCUUUUUAAACUUCACAAUGUUUUACCCAUGUUAGUGUGAGCACCAAUGUAGUUCUUGACAUCUCUGUUAAUAAUCAGUUAGGGAAAUUUCAAGUAAGCAGUCUAGAUAAAAAGUAAAUUGAUAUAUUUAACCAUAUUAAGUUAUUUUUUAUUCAAGGUAUGGUAUAAUAUGUAAAUUUAUUCAAAUAUGAUAAUGUGAAUAUCAUAUAUGUCUUUAGUUCUCCAUACAUUUCCUUAUUUGGUUCCCUCUUAAACUUACAUUGUAAUACAUUAACUGGUGAUCAUACAUUUACUGAUUAGUAACUGUGUGCACAGAUCUGAGCUAGUCUUUGUGGGUGAUUCAGAAGUAUUGUGAGUUACCCUUGUGUUGGUUAAAAUGAGCCAAUCUCAGUGCUAUGAAUAGGAGAAUGGAAAAGCUACAGUGGAAUCCAGUGGCUAACAAUGAAUUAAGUUCUGUAGCAUAAAUUACAAAUAUUCCAGAAGAUAAAAAAUGCAUAUGUCAUUAUGAGUGAAAUAACCAAGUCAUGGAAAAAGAGGCUUUGAGUUGGUCCCUGACACCCAAGCCUCCUUAUGCUGUAGCUAAGAUGACCUGAUUUGAGAAACAGUAAAAAAGUAGCACAAAGCCAUCGAGAUGUAGAAAUACUACAAACCAGGAAAAUGCCUGAGAAAACAUAUUGGGGUAGCUCAUGCAUAGUGCAAUUUAGGAAAUAAACGGUAGUGUCUGCUUUGAUCAGUACCCAUAGCACAUAAAUCCUGCCUUUCUUUUAGAUUCUAAAGGAUGUCACCAUGGAAAGAAGAAUGAAUAUUCUACACUUUCUUCCUUGGAAAAUAUGAAACAGGCCUGCAGCUUUAGUCUGGCAGGAGCGAAGUGCAACAGUGUGAUCUCGGCUCACUGCAACCUCUGCCUCCGGGUUCAAGCGAUUCUCCUGCCUCAGCCUCCCAAGUAGUUGGGAUUACAGGCAUGCACCACCACACCCAGUGAAUUUUGUAUUUUCUUUUUCUUUUUAUUUUUUUAGUAGAGACAGGGUUUCACCAUGUUGGUCAGGCUGGUCUCAAACUCCUGACCUCAAGUGAUCCACCCUCGUUGUUCUCCCAAAGUGCUGGGAUUAGGAUUACAGGCAUGAGCCACCAUCCCCAGCUGAACUAGGUCUUUGACAUAUAUUCCUGAUCUUGACCUUUUAAUUAUAAAAAGGAUACAAUUUUUUCUUCCAUUUUUAAAAAUUUUUAAUUAUCAUGGAUACAUAAUAGUUGUACAUUUUCAUGAAGUACAUGUGAUAGUUUGAUUCAAGAACUCAAUGCAUAAUGAUCAAACAGGGUAAUUGGGCUAUUCAUAACCUCAAGCAUUUACUAUUUCUUUGUGUUAGGGAUGUUCCAGAAAUUAUAAAAAUAUUUUCAUAAUAGGAGAGUUGGAAAAAAAGUAGAAAGUUUAAAUAAUUGUAAUGCCAUUUGAUUGAAGACAAUUUGAUUUCUGUGUCUCAAAGAAGCUGAGGUUGUCAAACUGGUGGACUUCGGUAGUAUGGUCAUCUGGAUCGGUCACUGCUCACUUAAGACAGACUUUAAGAAGGAACUCUCUUACUCACAGGAAAUCCGACUCCCUAUUCCUGCAGUCUGCAACUUGACCUCUUCCUCACAGAUUCUAUGCUAUUCAUAAGUCAGCUUCUCCUAGCCCCAGAAAGUCCAAGUUUAUAAGGACAGUCAUAGGUAGAGAGGUACACCCUUUUCCUUUGCUGAUCCCACACUAAUUUGCUGUUCUUCAAAUUUUGGUACUUUUCAAAAGCAAACAGUCACCCUCAGUUUACAUAAACAUAUGUAAAGAAAUGUCGUUACUUUCAACCUUAAGAAAUCAGUUGGAUUACAACCAUUUUCUGGUCAGUGGUUCCAGUGGAAAUCAAAUGAUUUAGAAAAAAAUUAUUCAGCCUUGGUUAAAGUUGAGAAAAAAUGUAGCAUCCGGUAGUAUCUAAUAAGCCUUGAAAGGAA